rnacentral:rRNA from 1 species
UACAGGGGGGUGCAAACGUUGCUCGGAAUCAUUGGGCGUAAAGCGCACGUAGGCGGUUCGUUAUGUCGGAUGUGAAAGCCCCUUGGCUUAACCGAGGAAGUGCAUCCGAAACUGGCGAGCUAGAGUACGAAAGAGGAUCGCGGAAUUCCCGGUGUAGAGGUGAAAUUCGUAGAUAUCGGGAGGAACACCGGUGGCGAAGGCGGCGAUCUGGGUCGAUACUGACGCUGAGGUGCGAAAAGCGUGGGGAGCAAACAGG